GACGAACGCUGGCGGCGUGCUUAACACAUGCAAGUCGAACGCUGAAGCUUGGUGCUUGCCCUGGGUGGCUGAGUGGCUAACGGGUGAGUAAUACGUGAGUAACCUGCCCUUGACUCUGGGAUAAGCCUGGGAAACUGGGUCUAAUACUGGAUACGACAUGUCACCGCAUGGUGGUGUGUGGAAAGGGUUUUACUGGUUUUGGAUGGGCUCACGGCCUAUCAGCUUGUUGGUGGGGUAAUGGCUCACCAAGGCGACGACGGGUAGCCGGCCUGAGAGGGUGACCGGCCACACUGGGACUGAGACACGGCCCAGACUCCUACGGGAGGCAGCAGUGGGGAAUAUUGCACAAUGGGCGGAAGCCUGAUGCAGCGACGCCGCGUGAGGGAUGACGGCCUUCGGGUUGUAAACCUCUUUCAGCACGGAAGAAGCGAAAGUGACGGUACGUGCAGAAGAAGCGCCGGCUAACUACGUG
rnacentral:rRNA from 1 species